CUGUCAGCAGGGUAAGAGUUUGACACUGAGCCCCAACAUGCGUUUUGCCGGUAAAUGGCUCUUUAAGGGGGAACCCACGUCCCUAGCUUUUGAGUUUAAAUGAUGCGCCCUUUGGUCUGAUUGGUCUAUCGGAAAACUGAUGACGUCAUGUAAAAGCGUUCAUUACGAGAACGGAGAUAGUGAUAUGCAUUUCAUUCGUGAUCUAAUCAUGGAAGAAAUAUUGAUUGCAAUAGUAUAUGGACCAAAAUCAAUCUGUUUUAAAAUUAUUACAGUGUUGUGUCCAAUAUGUCUAAUAGGUUUAGC